rfam:Tupaia chinensis contig192873, whole genome shotgun sequence.
GUGCUUGCUUCACCAGCACAUAUGCAAUAUUGGAACAAUGCAGAGAAGAUUAAUAUGGCCACUACUCAAGGAUGACAUGCAAAUCUGUGAAGUGCUCCAUAUUUUU